GCGUAGAAUCUGGCUUCAGGUUCGGGACAACAGUUGGAAACGGCUGCUAAUACCGGAUGUGCCCUUGGGUGAAAGAUUUAUCACCUGAAGAUGAGCUCGCGUCUGAUUAGCUAGUAGGUGUGGUAAGAGCGCACCUAGGCGACGAUCAGUAGCUGGUCUGAGAGGAUGAUCAGCCACACUGGGACUGAGACACGGCCCAGACUCCUACGGGAGGCAGCAGUGGGGAAUUUUCCGCAAUGGGCGAAAGCCUGACGGAGCAAUACCGCGUGAGGGAGGAAGGCUCUUGGGUUGUAAACCUCUUUUCUCAGGGAAGAAUGAUGACGGUACCUGAGGAAUAAGCAUCGGCUAACUCCGUGCCAGCAGCCGCGGUAAUACGGAGGAUGCAAGCGUUAUCCGGAAUGAUUGGGCGUAAAGCGUCCGCAGGUGGCAAUGUAAGUCUGCUGUCAAAGCGUCUGGCUCAACCAGAUAAAGGCAGUGGAAACUACAUAGCUAGAGUAAGGUAGGGGUAGAGGGAAUUCCUGGUGUAGCGGUGAAAUGCGUAGAGAUCAGGAAGAACACCGGUGGCGAAAGCGCUCUGCUGGACCUUAACUGACACUGAGGGACGAAAGCUAGGGGAGCGAAAGGGAUUA
rnacentral:rRNA from 1 species